rnacentral:misc_RNA from 1 species
GAUGAAGAACGUAGCGAAACGCGAUAGGUAAUGUGAAUUGCAGAAUUCCGUGAAUCAUCGAAUCUUUGAACGCACAUUGCGCCUUCUGGUAUUCCGGAAGGCAUGCCUGUUCGAGAGUCAUUAACAACCGUUUCGAUCCCUUUCUUUCAGAAAUUACAAAGAGGAAAAGGGUUUGGUUAUGGUGGAGGAGGGAAAGGGAGCGUUUAGCCUGUAAAAAAAGAGGCUGUGUUCCGCCUCCCCCCCAAAAUUGUACAGGCGGUCGUGUGCGCCCACGCAUCGAGGUGUUGUAAAAGCUGCCACGGCACUUUUCACCUGUGCAGUGCGAGAUUGGCCAGCCGGUUUAAAAACCCCUCCAAACAAUCAAAGGUUGACCUCGGAUCAGGUAGGGAUACCCGCUGAACUUAAGCAUAUCAAUAAGCGGAGGA